GGCUGGUUAUAUUGAUAUAUAAGUGAGGAACAGGGAAAACGGUGCAAGUCCGUUACAGCCCCCGCUGCCGUAAGGCGGACGGGUCGCGCCAAAUGCCACUGUGCGGCGGGCCGCAUGGGAAGGCGCGCGAUCCGGAUGAUACCAAGUCGGAAGACCUC
rnacentral:ncRNA from 1 species